CAACCGCCGCGGGAAUACAGAGGGUGCGAGCGUUAAUCGGAUUUACUGGGCGUAAAGCGUGCGUAGGCGGCUUCUUAAGUCGGAUGUGAAAUCCCUGAGCUUAACUUAGGAAUUGCAUUCGAUACUGGGAAGCUAGAGUAUGGGAGAGGAUGGUAGAAUUCCAGGUGUAGCGGUGAAAUGCGUAGAGAUCUGGAGGAAUACCGAUGGCGAAGGCAGCCAUCUGGCCUAAUACUGACGCUGAGGUACGAAAGCAUGGGGAGCAAACAGGAUUAGAUACCCCUGUAGUCCCUGUCUCUUAUAC
rnacentral:rRNA from 1 species